UACGGGGGGGGUAAGCGUUGUUCGGAAUUACUGGGCGUAAAGGGCUCGUAGGCGGCCAACUAAGUCGGACGUGAAAUCCCUCAGCUUAACUGGGGAACUGCGUCCGAUACUGGAUGGCUUGGAUUUGGGAGAGGGAUGCGGAAUUCCAGGUGUAGCGGUGAAAUGCGUAGAUAUCUGGAGGAACACCGGUGGCGAAGGCGACAUCCUGGACCGGCAUUGACGCUGAGGCGCGAAAGCCAGGGGAGCAAACGGG
rnacentral:rRNA from 1 species